GACGAACGCUGGCGGCGUGCUUAACACAUGCAAGUCGAACGGUGAAGCUCCAGCUUGCUGGAGUGGAUCAGUGGCGAACGGGUGAGUAACACGUGAGCAACCUGCCCCUGACUCUGGAAUAAGCGCUGGAAACGGCGUCUAAUACUGGAUACGAGAAGGGUCCGCAUGGGCACUUUCUGGAAAGUUUUUCGGUUGGGGAUGGGCUCGCGGCCUAUCAGCUUGUUGGUGAGGUAAUGGCUCACCAAGGCGACGACGGGUAGCCGGCCUGAGAGGGCGACCGGCCACACUGGGACUGAGACACGGCCCAGACUCCUACGGGAGGCAGCAGUGGGGAAUAUUGCACAAUGGGCGAAAGCCUGAUGCAGCGGCGCCGCGUGAGGGAUGACGGCCUUCGGGUUGUAAACCUCUUUCAGCAGGGAAGAAGCGAAAGUGACGGUACCUGCAGAAGAAGCACCGGCUAACUACGU
rnacentral:rRNA from 1 species